rnacentral:rRNA from 1 species
AACGAACGCUGGCGGCGUGCCUAAUACAUGCAAGUCGAGCGAGAAAGCCUCUUCGGAGGUGAGUAAAGCGGCGCACGGGUGAGUAACACGUGGGCAACCUACCCUUGAGUCUGGGAUAACCCGGGGAAACUCGGGCUAAUACCAGAUACGGCUGCGGGGUCUUCGGAUCCUGUGGAGAAAGAUGGCCUCUUCUUGAAAGCUAUCUCUCGAGGAUGGGCCCGCGUCCUAUUAGCUAGNGGUGAGGUAACGGCUCACCAAGGCAAAGAUGGGUAGCUGGUCUGAGAGGAUGGCCAGCCACACUGGAACUGAGACACGGUCCAGACUCCUACGGGAGGCAGCAGUAGGGAAUUUUGGGCAAUGGGCGAAAGCCUGACCCAGCAACGCCGCGUGUGGGAUGAAGGCCCUCGGGUCGUAAACCACUGUCAGGAGGAAAGAAAAGCUGGCCGGCUAACAUCCGGUCGGCCUGACGGUACCUCCAAAGGAAGCACCGGCUAACUCCGUGCCAGCCGCCGCGGUAA